GUCUGCCGGCUUACUCUUUCUCUUGGGUGAUCUGCUCUGGGGAGAGUUGUGAGUAGGCCUCCAGCCCACAGCCAUGUGAGUGACCCUUUUGAAGAGUGGAUCUUCCAGGCCCAGUCAAGCCUUCAGAUGACUGCAGCCCCAGCCAACAUCUUGGGAGACCCCGAGUCAGAAACCCCCGCUAAGUCACUUCCAGAUCCCUAAGUCUCAGAAACUGAAGAAAAAAAAAAUCAGCCACCUGAGGGCCAAUCUGAUGCUCGGGGAGAUGGAGUAUCUUCUUCCAUCACAGUCUCCUGCCGCAUUUCACGUGAUGAUGCAGCAAGAAUUAAGCCAUCUGCAACCUGGUAGGAGGGUCCCUACCAGAACCUUACCCUGCUGGCACCCUGAUCUCAGAUGUCCAGCCUCCAGAACGGCUAAUGACAUGCGGUGGGAUCCUCUCUCACAAUGCUGGGAAGCCACAGAGAGCCACAUCUCCCAGUUGGCACACCAUCAUGAAUGUAGACAACUGAGAUUUGACAGUGUUCCUUUUUGCCAGAACUCCUUAAUGAUACACCAGAGAGAUUACAAUGGAAAUGCUAAGGAAAGGAACAGCUGGCAUCUCUCCUUGAAAUCCUAUGAGCAGAACAAAUUCAGAGCUUCAAAACAACAAAAUAUGUUGCACCGGGAGAAUACGAUCCUCUCUGGAAUCCCAUCAGGGACUAGAAAGUUACCCCCGAUAAACAUGAUGAAAGAAAG
rnacentral:lncRNA from 10 species